rnacentral:rRNA from 1 species
GGACCCGCACAAGUAGUGGAGCAUGUGGUUUAAUUCGAAGAUACGCGCAGAACCUUACCAACACUUGACAUGUUCGUCGCGACUUUAAGAGAUUAAAGUUUUCGGUUCGGCCGGACGAAACACAGGUGCUGCAUGGCUGUCGUCAGCUCGUGUCGUGAGAUGUUGGUUAAGUCCCGCAACGAGCGCAACCCUCACUUUUAGUUGCCAUCAUUAAGUUGGGCACUCUGAAAGAACUGCCAGUGAUAAGCUGGAGGAAGGUGGGGAUGACGUCAAGUCCUCAUGGCCCUUACGUGUUGGGCUACACACGUGCUACAAUGCUACGGACAAAGGGCAGCAAGUUCGCGAGGACAAG